GGACCAUCUUCCCGAACUCGCCUGAAGCUUCGCGGCCUGUCCCUUCGCCCCGCAAGCGCCGAGGUCGCCAGCUCGCCGCCGCCUCUCCCCCGUUGCAGUCUGAGCGGUGUGGCCUCUGCUCUUCACCUGCAUCGCCGCCCGCGCCUUCUUCCUCCACUUGCCGCACCGCCCUCUGGCUCUCCGCAACGCCUCUCGCCCAGCUGGUGGCGUCUUGCUGAGUACGGUGGAGGCGCGAGCCGCGUGGCACCGCCGGAAUUCGUCGGCGCCGGCGAGGUCAACGGCAUCUUCCGCGAGCCACUUCCCAAGGCGAUGCUCCCGGCCCAUCCACUGCCGCUCGAGGUGUGGCCCAUCCGCUGCAGAAGACGAGCGCAGCUGCGCACGGGAGGUGCAGAGGUGGCUGCCGCGGCUCAUCGCCUGCCACAGCUUUUGCAAGCUAAGGUGCCCUAUAGGUGUUCGAUGAAAUGCUCGAUGGAUCUUGCAGCAAGAUGCUCACAGCUGUGCCUGUGGCGUAUGAAAGAACCAUAAAAGUUCCACAGAUAUCUGGAAAGAACAAGCUCAUCUCAGUUAUAGCAGACAGUUCUGCAAUGAGCAAGAGGCACUCGAUGGUCAGAGCGAUAGUUCCAUUUCAAACCUGAACGCAGUUUCAGAGUGCAGAGAGAUUGGCUAUGGCUGUCACAUAUAUAGCCGUCACAUAUACAUUGAUAGGUAUUUAGAGCAGUCUGAAUUUCAAUUUUAUCUUAUUAUUCUAUCAUCAGAUUUAUUCAGUGUCCUCCUUUGGAAGCAGUGGCUGUAAAUGACCAAAGUAGCACUCACUAUCGAUGACCAUCGAGAAAUCAAUAGUAGCGAUUUCUGCUAGCAGUGGCCUUGUACACAACCUUUUCCAGCGGUGGCUGUACACAACUUUGUUAUAUUGUAUGUUUCUUCUAGCAGUGGCUAUACGCAAUUAAUUUC